GGGCACCUGGUUGGACGUGCGGUCUGCUUUCGGGGCUGAAGAGGGAUCAUGGGGCAGGACAGGCGGCUUCCAGGAACCUGGACGAUCACCUGGCUUGGGAGCAUCCAGUGAAAAGUGGCUUCCUUGGCCUGCGGCUUUGGCUUGUCUAAGGGGGAGGCAGAUCGUGAAUCAUUACAGAGUGAAUCCAGAGCCCUGGAGUUUCCACAAAGUCUCACUCUCAAGCCUUGGAACCUGGAUGCAGGAGCUGACCUCCAGUUGGAGGAGGUGAAGAGCUGGGCUGGGCUCUAGCCACAGCCCAACCAGGAACGGUGAUUGGGAUGGAUGGACGGCUACUGUCACAGAGAGGUUGGGCUUCCAGACAGAGCAACAGGGAAAUCUGGGACAGGAGGGAGAAAGUGGCCAUCUGCAAACCAGGAAGUGGGGCCUCACCAGACCCUGGAUCAGCUGGCACCUUGAUCUUGGACUUCAGAGUAGUGAGAAAUGGAAGUGGAUACCCACUGUCUGUGGUAUGUGCUCUGGCCACCUGAGCUGACUAGAAUAGGAAGGAAGCCCAGCAUCUGAGCCCAGGGAACACUGCCAGCCAGGCCUCCUCCAGGCAUCGGGGUCCCCCCAACAGCUGGCUAUGGGAUCCUAAACCUCAGUGCAUUCUAUGUCCUAAAUGGUCCGCAAAUCCCUCCAUCUUUGCCCUCGUGAUCUGACUCUAAUUUACACCGCCACUGGCUCUGCCCCGUGUUAUGGCAAUAGCCCCUCACUGGUAGGUCUCUCAUGGCCAUUACUGCCCCUUAGGUCUGGGUAUCUAAUCACACCACAUCUCUGUUUAAAAACCCUUCUGUCACUCGGGUAAUUCCAAACGCUCUGCCAAGACAUGCACCUUUCCACCCUACUUACCCGCCAGCUUCCUCUCCUCCCCUCAGAACUUGCUCCAGGCUGGUCCAACCACCAGGUGCUGCUCUGACCUCUUUGUCCCGAGGACUACUCCUUCAUAUCUUGGCUCAGCUGUUUCUCCCACAAACCUACCUCUUUGGCCCUCACAAGGCCCCAUAUCUCAAGGCCUUGUAGCCUUUAAGAUGGCGGUCGUCAGAUAACAAGCUGGCUGCUUGAUGUCUGACUUCCCAUGAGGCUGUGGGUCAGCCCGACGAAGGCAGACUGCCCCGGCCAUUCACGACUCCACCCCAGGGCCGACCCCUGCCCUUCCCUGCUGAGCCCUUGCUGGGCCAAAUCAAUGGGCCAACGUAGGAAAAGGAACGUACUUCCGAAACACACCACACCAUGGAUGGAUCUCAGAACGAUUAGCCUGAGGGAGAGAAGCCAGACCCAAGGGUACGCACAAUAGGAUUUCAUGUAAAUAAAAUUCUAGAAACCUUAAAUGAAGCUCUAGGGACAGAAGCAGAUAAGUGGCUGUCUGAGGUAGGGGAUAACGAGAGAGUGGACAGGGCCAGGGCAGGAGGGAACAUUCUGGAAUGAUGCAGUUCAGACUGUAUCUUCACUCAACCAAGCUCAUCAAAUCCUACACUUCAAAUGAACGCAGUGUAUCAUGUACACAUUAUACCUAAUAAAAUUGAUUGGUUUUUCGAUUGAAAAAUGUUACCAAAUCUCCUAAUUAUGGCCAAUAAUACGCUCACGGUCUUUGUCACGAUUAGACACUGAGCUACUCAGGUCCCACAACAGCCGCGGGACACUGAAGCUCAACUUGGUGCCAUGCAUUGCUCUGAGCACCUCUCAUGAUUUCCGUGUGUCUGUGACAGUCCUUGUCCUCCUGAGGCCCUGACAUCCCUGUUUGUAGACCAUGCCCAGCCUGGGGCCAGAGCCCACUGGACCACGUGGAACCCAGACAGGCCAGCUGGUUCCUCCUCCGUGUGAUUUUGUUCCAUGUGCUGUAGAGCCCAGGGCCUGCUGUGGGCCUCAGGGCAGGCUGGCAAGGCCAGGGUCUGCUGGUAAACUGAGGCCUGCGUAAGCUGGAACACUGAGAAGGGCAUGAGCAGAUGGGGAGAGGAGAAGCACCCAGCCCUGGAGGGCCCCCAUGAGGAGGCAGCAGGGGUUCCCGAGCUUCCCUCUCUGAGCCGGCAGCUGCCUCUCCUGGAGUAGUCCCGAAGCCUGUCAAAACUGAGCCAGUGAAGACUGUGGCAGGCGAGCGUUCCCGCGGGAGUUCACACCAAGGUGGGUGCUCUCCGGCCCAGUGUAGAUGAAAUAAUAUAUGUCAGGGGCCUGGUCUCCCACAGGCACCUACUACACACUCAGGCAGAAAAGAACCGAAAGGGCAGGUGAAGAAUCACGCAGCUGAGGGUUCGAGGCAGAUCGCGGGAGGACGGAAGCUGCUUCUCCGAGAGGCCGGGGCCAGCGGGACAGGAGCUGAUGGAGUAGAAGAGGGGCUGUUUGUCUCCACCCGACGGCGGAAAAGGCCCAACUGUCUGACUCAAGGAUCGCCCCGUGAGUUCAAAGAAAGAAACAUUCUCCUACCAUUACCUCUUCUAGGGUCAUGUUAAGAUCCCGCUUACGUGAUGAAAUCACAUAAGGACGGUGUCUACAGAGCAGUGUCACAAAGGAUUCAGAAACGGCCAAUGUCCCCUUCUUGUAGCAAACCUGGAUGAAAGGUUAAGCUCCACAGGGAGUUCUAGAAGGACAUAAGUACGAAUUAAAAGAUGACCGGGGCGCCUGGGUGGCUCAGUGGGUUAAAGCCUCUGUCU